rnacentral:lncRNA from 1 species
AAAGAGUUAGACCAUCUGUCUUAUAUGCACUUAGGAUGGGUUUUGAUGGCCUUUUCUUCUUUUGUUCUCUCCUGCCACACACAUGCGCGCACAGACACACACACUUUUCUUUCUGAUAUUGUUGUUCUUUUGCAUCAAUGGUUUUUAUGAGCUGAAUCAGCAGACAUUUUGCUUUUAAAUAAACCAAACCUGCACCACAACCCUGAGCCAUCAUUAUAUCAGGCAUUUUUUCAUGUAGUGUAUUCAUCAGAAAAAUAAUAGCAAGGUCUGAAUAUGAUCUCCCAUACGCUGGCGUAAAUCAGGAGGAACACUACUGUCACUUAGCACUUUAAAUAAUCCAGGUAAAGUACAAACAGUUUCUAAUUCACCGCUUCACAAAGGACAAGGUAAAUAUCCUCAUUUUACCAAUGGGGAAAUGUAAAUAGCCUCAUUUUACAGGGGAAAGGGAGGCACACAAAUCUGGCUGCUUGCUACCAUCAUAUGGUAGUGUUGGGAUUAGCUCCAAAGAGCUCUUGAAGCAUAACCCUGUAUUUCUCACUUUAAGCUUGUCUGUUGAUUUGUUUUUGUUUCAUGGCAGACCAAAUCAUAUUUGGCAUGAGCAGACACUUUCAGCUGAUGGAGUUACGGUGCUGUAAUACCAGUGUCAGUUAGAUCAGAACCAAAAAUCUCGUUAUGGAGAGGGCUGAACUCCUCUGUGGAAUCUGGAGUGUGAUUUUCCUGCAGUCCUUGCGUGGAUCCUGCUCACACAGAGUGUGUGUGCACAUCAAAACAAAGUCUGGGAAGAGAGUCUUGCCAGUGGAGGACGAGUUGCUAGUCAUUAACAGAAGAAACUUCUGAGGGGAAGAAGAAACACUGGGGUCCUGGUAGAAGUCAGAUAAAGAUCCGAAUAGACAUUCCUUAGCAAAAACCCACUGUUUCCUUGAGGUCAAGUUUCUAAACACAUACAUGGCCCAUGAAGUUUGCAGAUCUGCUGUUUGGAAAACAAUUGCCAUGGGGAAGUUUUCCAAGCAUGGCCCUCUCCAUUUAAUCAAGUUCUGCAGAUAGUAAGAAGAGGUAGGAGAACCAGAAAAUGGCCAUGGAAAGAAAAUAGAUUGAAUCAUGAUGAGCAGGAGCUGUGAUGGACCCACUAAACUCAUUGGUGARACGUGCAUCUCACACAAAUAUUUUGAAGUGCUUGGUUGUGCUGAAAGAGUGUGUGUGUGCAACAGUGACUGAUUGUCCAUACUUACUGCUAGGAGGACUUCAGAAAAAGUGUAGGAG